rnacentral:rRNA from 1 species
UGUAAUCCAAGUCAAGAUCCUUAAUUUGUAGGAAUCAACAUCCUCUAUGAUGCCAAUAAUAGCUCUCGUGAGAGCGUCAGACUAUCAUAUCUACACAAUUUAAAUGGGGUAGGGACAUAUGUUGUAGGCAUUUUCAAAAUACUUCAUAAAAGAUAGCAUUUAACGUUGCAUUCCAAAUGUAAUUUUAGAAAUGGUUAACAUGCAGGAUAAUAGCAUAUUUCAAAUGUACAAAUUUUUCUAAGAAAUUUUCAUAUAUAACAUUUUAGAUUUAAAGUUA